GUGGGGAAUCUUGCGCAAUGGGCGAAAGCCUGACGCAGCCAUGCCGCGUGAAUGAUGAAGGUCUUAGGAUUGUAAAAUUCUUUCACCGGGGACGAUAAUGACGGUACCCGGAGAAGAAGCCCCGGCUAACUUCGUGCCAGCAGCCGCGGUAAUACGAAGGGGGCUAGCGUUGCUCGGAAUUAUUGGGCGUAAAGGGCGCGUAGGCGGACAGUUUAGUCAGAGGUGAAAGCCCAGGGCUCAACCUUGGAAUUGCCUUUGAUACUGGCUGUCUUGAGUACGGGAGAGGUGAGUGGAACUCCGAGUGUAGAGGUGAAAUUCGUAGAUAUUCGGAAGAACACCAGUGGCAAAGGCGACUCACUGGCCCGUUACUGACGCUGAGGCGCGAAAGCGUGGGGAGCAAACAGGAUUAGAUACCCGAGUAGUCC
rnacentral:rRNA from 1 species